GACGAACCGUGCGAACGUUAUUCGGAAUCACUGGGCUUAAAGCGCGUGUAGGCGGAUGGGCGCGUCGGACGCUGAAAUCCCCCGGCUCAACCGGGGAAGGGGCUCCGAAACGGCCCGUCUGGAGGGGGGUAGGGGAGACUGGAAUUCCUGGUGUAGCGGUGGAAUGCGCAGAUAUCAGGAGGAACACCGGUGGCGAAGGCGGGUCUCUGGGCCGUUACUGACGCUGAGACACGAAAGCGUGGGUAGCAAACAGG
rnacentral:rRNA from 1 species